rnacentral:rRNA from 1 species
CCUACGGGAGGCAGCAGUAAGGAAUAUUGCGCAAUGGACGAAAGUCUGACGCAGCAACGCCGCGUGCAGGAUGAAGGCCCUUUGGGUUGUAAACUGCUGUAGCAGGGGAAUAAGUUCUCCUUUGAGGAGAGUGAAGGUACCCUGAAAGUAAGCGCCGGCUAACUACGUGCCAGCAGCCGCGGUAAUACGUAGGGCGCAAGCGUUGUCCGGAUUCACUGGGUGUAAAGGGUGCGCAGGCGGGAGAGUAAGUUAGAGGUGAAAUCUCACAGCUUAACUGUGAAACGGCCUUUGAUACUGCUUUUCUUGAGUUAGGGAGAGGUUGAUGGAAUUCCAGGUGUAGCGGUGAAAUGCGUAGAUAUCUGGAAGAACACCGGUGGCGAAGGCGGUCAACUGGCCCUAAACUGACGCUGAGGCACGAAAGCGUGGGGAUCAAACAGGAU